rnacentral:rRNA from 1 species
GCAAGUCGAACGAACUCUUCGGAGUUAGUGGCGCACGGGUGCGUAACGCGUGGGAAUCUGCCCUUGGGUUCGGAAUAACUUCGGGAAACUGAAGCUAAUACCGGAUGAUGACGAAAGUCCAAAGAUUUAUCGCCGAGGGACGAGCCCGCGUAAGAUUAGCUAGUUGGUGAGGUAAAGGCUCACCAAGGCGACGAUCCUUAGCUGGUCUGAGAGGAUGAUC